GACGAACGCUGGCGGCGUGCCUAAUACAUGCAAGUAGAACGCUGAAGGAGGAGCUUGCUUCUCUGGAUGAGUUGCGAACGGGUGAGUAACGCGUAGGUAACCUGCCUGGUAGCGGGGGAUAACUAUUGGAAACGAUAGCUAAUACCGCAUAAGAGUAGAUGUUGCAUGACAUUUGCUUAAAAGGUGCAAUUGCAUCACUACCAGAUGGACCUGCGUUGUAUUAGCUAGUUGGUGGGGUAACGGCUCACCAAGGCGACGAUACAUAGCCGACCUGAGAGGGGGAUCGGCCACACUGGGACUGAGACACGGCCCAGACUCCUACGGGAGGCAGCAGUAGGGAAUCUUCGGCAAUGGACGGAAGUCUGACCGAGCAACGCCGCGUGAGUGAAGAAGGUUUUCGGAUCGUAAAGAUCUGUUGUAAGAGAAGAACGAGUGUGAGAGUGGAAAGUUCACACUGUGACGGUAUCUUACCAGAAGGGGACGGCUAACUACGUG
rnacentral:rRNA from 1 species